CUGAUUGAGCGGCCGAUAUCAGAUUAGCUAGUUGGUGAGGUAAAAGCUCACCAAGGCGACGAUCUGUAGCGGGUCUGAGAGGAUGAUCCGCCACACUGGAACUGAGACACGGUCCAGACUCCUACGGGAGGCAGCAGUGGGGAAUUUUGGACAAUGGGGGCAACCCUGAUCCAGCCAUGCCGCGUGAGUGAAGAAGGCCUUCGGGUUGUAAAGCUCUUUCAGCCGGGAAGAAAAUGCAUGGGUUAAUACCCUGUGCAGAUGACGGUACCGGAAUAAGAAGCACCGGCUAACUACGUGCCAGCAGCCGCGGUAAUACGUAGGGUGCGAGCGUUAAUCGGAAUUACUGGGCGUAAAGCGUGCGCAGGCGGUUUUGUAAGACAGGCGUGAAAUCCCCGGGCUUAACCUGGGAACUGCGUUUGUGACUGCAAGGCUAGAGUACGGCAGAGGGGGGUGGAAUUCCACGUGUAGCAGUGAAAUGCGUAGAGAUGUGGAGGAACACCAAUGGCGAAGGCAGCCCCCUGGGUCGAUACUGACGCUCAUGCACGAAAGCGUGGGUAGCAAACAGGAUUAGAUACCCUGGUAGUCCACGCCCUAAACGAUGUCAACUAGGUGUUGGGAGGGUAAAACCUUUUAGUACCGUAGCUAACGCGAGAAGUUGACUGCCUGGGGAGUACGGCCGCAAGGUUAAAACUCAAAGGAAUUGACGGGGACCCGCACAAGCGGUGGAUGAUGUGGAUUAAUUCGAUGCAACGCGAAAAACCUUACCUACCCUUGACAUGUCAGGAACUUGCCAGAGAUGGCUUGGUGCCCGAAAGGGAACCUGAACACAGGUGCUGCAUGGCUGUCGUCAGCUCGUGUCGUGAGAUGUUGGGUUAAGUCCCGCAACGAGCGCAACCCUUGUCGUUAAUUGCCAUCAUUCAGUUGGGCACUUUAACGAGACUGCCGGUGACAAACCGGAGGAAGGUGGGGAUGACGUCAAGUCCUCAUGGCCCUUAUGGGUAGGGCUUCACACGUCAUACAAUGGUCGGUACAAAGGGUCGCCAACCCGCGAGGGGGAGCCAAUCCCAUAAAGCCGAUCGUAGUCCGGAUUGUAGGCUGCAACUCGCCUGCAUGAAGUCGGAAUCGCUAGUAAUCGUGGAUCAGCAUGUCACGGUGAAUACGUUCCCGGGUCUUGUACACACCGCCCGUCACACCAUGGGAGCGGGUUCCGCCAGAAGUAGGUAGCCUAACCGCAAGGGGGGCGCUUACCACGGCGG
rnacentral:rRNA from 1 species